rnacentral:misc_RNA from 1 species
GAUGAAGAACGUAGCAAAAUGCGAUAAGUAAUGUGAAUUGCAGAAUUCAGUGAAUCAUCGAAUCUUUGAACGCACAUUGCGCCCGCCAGUAUUCUGGCGGGCAUGCCUGUUCGAGCGUCAUUUCAACCCUCAAGCACAGCUUGGUGUUGGGACUCGCGUCAAUUCGCGUUCCUCAAAUUGAUUGGCGGUCACGUCGAGCUUCCAUAGCGUAGUAGUAAAACCCUCGUUACUGGUAAUCGUCGCGGCCACGCCGUUAAACCCCAACUUCUGAAUGUUGACCUCGGAUCAGGUAGGAAUACCCGCUGAACUUAAGCAUAUCAAUAAGCGGAGGA